UGAGGAAUAUUGGUCAAUGGACGCAAGUCUGAACCAGCCAUGCCGCGUGCAGGAUGACGGCUCUAUGAGUUGUAAACUGCUUUUGUAUAUGGGUAAAUGUAGGUACGUGUACCUAUUUGAAAGUAAUAUACGAAUAAGGAUCGGCUAACUCCGUGCCAGCAGCCGCGGUAAUACGGAGGAUCCAAGCGUUAUCCGGAUUUAUUGGGUUUAAAGGGUGCGUAGGCGGUUUUAUAAGUUAGAGGUGAAAUAUCGGGGCUCAACUCCGAGGCUGCCUCUAAUACUGUAUGACUAGAGAGUAGAUGCGGUAGGCGGAAUGUAUGGUGUAGCGGUGAAAUGCGUAGAGAUCAUACAGAACACCGAUUGCGAAGGCAGCUUACCAAACUAUAUCUGACGUUGAGGCACGAAAGCGUGGGGAGCAAACAGG
rnacentral:rRNA from 2 species